GACGAACGCUGGCGGCGUGCUUAACACAUGCAAGUCGAACGGAAAGGCCAUGAUCUUGUGGGGUGCUCGAGUGGCGAACGGGUGAGUAAAACGCGUGUAACAUGCACUUGUCUUUGGGAUAACAUCAGGAAAAUGGGGCUAAUAUCGGAUAGGAGCUCCUGCUGCAUGGGGGGGGUUGGAAAGAUUCGGCGGUUUGGGCUGGUCUCGCUGCUUAUCAGCUUGUUUGUGGGGUAGUGGCUUACCAAGGGUUUGACGGGUAGGCGGCCUGGGAGGGUGACCGGCCACCAGGGGACUGAGGUACGGCCCAGACUGCUACGGGAGGCAGCGGGGGAGAGUCUUGCGCAGCAGGCGCGAGCCUGAUGCGACAGCGCCGCGUUCGGAAUGACGGCCUACGAGUGGAGAACCGCUUUGGCCUGAAACGAGGCGUUAGUGACGGUAAUGGGUAAAGAAGCACCGGCUAACUACGUG
rnacentral:rRNA from 1 species